rnacentral:rRNA from 1 species
UGGGGAAUAUUGGACAAUGGGGGAAACCCUGAUCCAGCAAUGCCGCGUGUAUGAAGAAGGUCUUCGGAUCGUAAAGUACUUUUAUAGGUGAAGAUGAUGACGGUAACCUAUGAAUAAGCUCCGGCUAACUUCGUGCCAGCAGCCGCGGUAAUACGAAGGGAGCUAGCGUUGUUCGGAAUAACUGGGCGUAAAGGGCGCGUAGGUGGGUAUAUGCGUUAGAUGUGAAAUCCCCGGGCUUAACCUGGGAGUGGCAUUUAAUACGGUAUAUCUGGAGUACGAGAGGGGAAAGCGGAAUGGCGAGUGGAGCAGUGAAAUGCAUAGAUAUUCGCUGGAACACCAGAGGCGAAGGCGGCUUUCUGGAUCGUUACUGACACUGAGGCGCGAAAGCGUGGGGAGCAAA